CCUACGGGAGGCAGCAGUGAGGAAUAUUGGUCAAUGGGCGCGAGCCUGAACCAGCCAAGUAGCGUGAAGGAUGACUGCCCUACGGGUUGUAAACUUCUUUUAUCAAGGAGUAAAGUGAGCCACGUGUGCCUUUUUGUAUGUACUUUAUGAAUAAGGAUCGGCUAACUCCGUGCCAGCCGCCGCGGUAAUACGGAGGAUCCGCGCGUUAUCCGGAUUUAUUGGGUUUAAAGGGAGCGUAGAUGGGUUGUUAAGUCAGUUGUGAAAGUUUGCGGCUCAACCGUACAAUUGCAAUUGAAACUGGCAGUCUUGAGUACAGGUGAGGUAGGCGGAAUGCGUGGUGUAGCGGUGAAAUGCAUAGAUAUCACGAAGAACUCCGAUUGCGAAGGCAGCAUACUAAACUGCCACUGACACUGAUGCUCGAAAGUGUGGGUAUCAAACAGGAUUAGAUACCCGAGUAGUC
rnacentral:rRNA from 1 species